UGGGGAAUAUUGCGCAAUGGGGGAAACCCUGACGCAGCAACGCCGCGUGAGCGAUGAAGGCCUUCGGGUCGUAAAGCUCUGUCUUCUGGGACGAUAAUGACGGUACCAGAGGAGGAAGCCACGGCUAACUACGUGCCAGCAGCCGCGGUAAUACGUAGGUGGCGAGCGUUGUCCGGAAUUACUGGGCGUAAAGGGUGCGUAGGUGGUUUUUUAAGUGGGAUGUGAAAUCCAUGGGCUUAACCCAUGAACUGCAUUCCAAACUGGAAGACUAGAGUGCAGGAGAGGAAAGCGGAAUUCCCAGUGUAGCGGUGAAAUGCGUAGAUAUUGGGAGGAACACCAGUGGCGAAGGCGGCUUUCUAGACUGUAACUGACACUGAGGCACGAAAGCGUGGGGAGCAAACA
rnacentral:rRNA from 1 species